rnacentral:lncRNA from 1 species
CUGCAUGUUCCUGGCAAGGGCUCCCCUAAGUCCCUCCUGCUCAGUCCCGCCCAUCACAUCGGCCCCGCCCUCACCCCGGCCCCGCCCUUCACACGCGCGGCGUCGCGCAGCCUCAGUCUCCCAGCCAGUCCGGCGUCCUCGGCGGUUGCGCGCUUAGCCCUCCUCCCUCCGUGCCGGGCGCGCGUUUUCUGCUCUGCCAGCCUCAUUUUGGGGCGGUUAGGCUGCGCGCCUGUGGGGACGGGGCCCAGAGCAAGCGACCGUGACAAUGGGGCAAGGCGGCUGGGUCGGGCCGAGGGCAGCGGCCGAGGUGAAGGCGGAAGGAGGCGGCGGUGUCGGAGGGAAUCCUUGCCCAGAGUCCAGCACCUCCUUCCUGUCCAGGAUCACCUUCUGGUGGAUCACAGGGUUGAUCGUCCGGGGCUACCACCAACCCCUGGAGAGCAGUGGCUUCUGGUCCUUAAACAAGGAGGACACGUCAGAACAAGUCAUGCCUGUUUUGGUAAAGAACUGGAAGAAGAAAUGCACCAAGUCUAGGAAGGGUCACGGGCAUCAGCGGUCCAGGGAAGGAAGCAAAGCAAAUGGAGAAUGGCAUGCUGGUGACAGACAGUGCGGGGAAGCAACUACAGAAACAGCUCAGCAGUUCCUCCUCCUAUAG